UACGUAGGGGGCUAGCGUUGUCCGGAUUUAUUGGGCGUAAAGAGCUCGUAGGCGGUUUGGCAAGUCGGGUGUGAAAUUUCGAGGCUCAACCUCGAAACGCCACUCGAUACUGCUGUGACUGGAGUCCGGUAGAGGAGUGCGGAAUUCCUGGUGUAGCGGUGAAAUGCGCAGAUAUCAGGAGGAACACCAACGGCGAAGGCAGCACUCUGGGCCGGUACUGACGCUGAGGAGCGAAAGCGUGGGGAGCAAACAGG
rnacentral:rRNA from 1 species